CACGUAGGCACCAAGCGUUGUCCGGAUUUAUUGGGCGUAAAGAGCUCGUAGGCGGUUCAGUAAGUCGGGUGUGAAAACUUUGGGCUUAACCCAAAGCGUGCAUCCGAUACUGCUGUGACUUGAGUUCGGUAGGGGAGCAGGGAAUUCCUAGUGUAGCGGUGAAAUGCGCAGAUAUUAGGAGGAACACCGGUGGCGAAGGCGCUGCUCUGGGCCGACACGUGACGCUGAUGCGCGAAAGCCAGGGGAGCGAACGGG
rnacentral:rRNA from 1 species